rnacentral:rRNA from 1 species
AUUGAACGCUGGCGGCAUGCUUUACACAUGCAAGUCGAACGGUAACAGGUUAAGCUGACGAGUGGCGAACGGGUGAGUAAUGCAUCGGAACGUGCCCGGUCGUGGGGGAUAACGCAGCGAAAGCUGCGCUAAUACCGCAUACGAUCUGAGGAUGAAAGCGGGGGACCGUAAGGCCUCGCGCGAUCGGAGCGGCCGAUGUCAGAUUAGGUAGUUGGUGGGGUAAAGGCUCACCAAGCCGACGAUCUGUAGCUGGUCUGAGAGGACGACCAGCCACACUGGGACUGAGACACGGCCCAGACUCCUACGGGAGGCAGCAGUGGGGAAUUUUGGACAAUGGGCGCAAGCCUGAUCCAGCAAUGCCGCGUGCAGGAAGAAGGCCUUCGGGUUGUAAACUGCUUUUGUACGGAGCGAAAAGGUCUUUCCUAAUACGGGAGGCUGAUGACGGUACCGUAAGAAUAAGCACCGGCUAACUACGUG